rnacentral:lncRNA from 1 species
GUUUUGAGUUUCUUAAUCCUGAGUUCUAAUUUGAUUGCACUAUGGGCUGAGAGACUGUUUGUUACGAUUUCCUUUCUUUUGCAUUUGCUGAGGAGUGUUUUACUUCCAAUUAUGUGGUCAGUUUUAGACUAUGUGUGAUGUGGUGCUGAGAAGAGUGUUUACUCUGUUGAUUUGGGGUGGAAAGUUCUGUAGAUGUCUGCUGGGAUUACAGGCAUGAGCCACUGUGCCCAGCUGAAUUUCCCUUAAUUGUUGAGGGAUAUUUUCACUAGAUAUAGGAUUCUAGGCUGGCUGACAGUUAUUUUAUUUCAGCAUUCAAAAAAUUCCCUGCCACUUCCUUCUUGUAUUUCCUGAUGAGAAAUAUGCUGUCGUUCAAAUUGUUUUUUUCCCUAUUGGUAAGGUGUUAUGUCUCUCUUGCUGCUUUCAAGAUUUUUUCUUUAUCUUUAGUGUUAAGAAGUUUGACUAUGAUGUGUCUCAGUGUGGAUUUCUUUGUGUUUAUCCGGUGUGAGGGUAACUCAACUUCCUAGUGUAUAGGUUUAUGUCUUUUGCCAAAUAUGAAGAGUUUUCAGCCAUUAUUUCUUUGAGUACUUUUUCCAGCCCUGUCCUCUUCCUCUGAGACUCUGAAGACACAAAUGGUAGAUCUGUUGUUAUAGUCCCAUAGGACUAUUUUUUUUUAAAUCGCUGUUGUUCAGAUUAGGUAGCUGCUAUUGCUCAAUUUUCCAGUUCACUGAUUCUUUCCUCUGUACCAUCUAUUCUGCUGAACAGAGGUUUUUUUGUUUUGUUUUGUUUUGUUUUGUUUUGAGAUG